UUGCUCAAAAGCAGCACAGAUACUAAAAUUGGAACAAUACAGAGAAGGUGAGCAUGGCCCUGUGCACGGCUGACACGCAAAUUCGUGAAGCGUUCCAUAUUUUU